GCCCCCGUAGCUCAGAGGACAGAGCAACGGCCUUCUAAGCCGCAGGUCGCAGGUUCGAGUCCUGCCGGGGGCG
rnacentral:tRNA from 2 species